ACCAACUUGGUAUAGUGGUUUGAGCAUUAGAUUAAAGCUCUGGAGGCCAGAGUUCAAAUCUCUGUUUGGGCA